rnacentral:lncRNA from 1 species
ACCCUGAAAAGGAAUUAUCUGAAUACGAAUCCCACUGUUCUCCUGGCAGCCCUGCCCUGGCUUUGCAGCAACAAGAGCACCAAGCAGCUCAGCCAUGACACCAACUACACUUUGCCAAAGUGGUAGAAAAAGAGUUAGAGAAGCAAGCAGGAGCAGGCUGUGGACAGCCCACGUCUGCUGCAGCACAAGUGUAAGAAAAGAAUAUGAUUUGGACUACUGUAAGCCUUUCACCAUCUCCCUCAAGGAAACUGCUGAAGAUAAAAUUACAAAUGCCCUAUACAUGCAAUCAUAUUAGCAUCUCAAGCAAGCACAAAUACGGCAUAUUUGACCCAGUGGGAAAGUGGCACUGGCAACACAACACAGCCCAUUGUCAAAGGAAUCUAGAUGAAAAUAUGAAUUCCUCUCAUUCACUGUCCUCAAAAAUAACUCUUCAGUGGAGCAAAACAGUCCCAAGUAAGAGCCGUGCAUGACUGAAGAAUAGAGCUGUCUGGCAGGCUGAGAAGUAUGUAUGCCAACAAGGAGCUAAAAUGAAUGUCCAAAGCACUGUGAAGGAAAUGAAGCUGACUGUAUUAUCUGGCACAGAAACAUAGAAGUCUUCACAUGUCCAUCACAGUCAGGUUCACUUGACUAGGCAUCUGCUGCCAUUCUACCAUGACUUCACUGGGUAACAUGUCAUUAAAAAAAACAUCC